GCGUCGGUGGCAGAGUGGUCAAUUGCAGCGGACUGUAAAUCCGCCGGUCUUAGACCUACGCAGGUUCGAAUCCUGCCCGGCGCA
rnacentral:tRNA from 1 species